rnacentral:rRNA from 1 species
AUUGAACGCUGGCGGCAUGCCUUACACAUGCAAGUCGAACGGCAGCACGGGAGCUUGCUCCUGGUGGCGAGUGGCGAACGGGUGAGUAAUACAUCGGAACGUACCCAGGAGUGGGGGAUAACGUAGCGAAAGUUACGCUAAUACCGCAUAUUCUGUGAGCAGGAAAGCGGGGGAUCGCAAGACCUCGCGCUCUUGGAGCGGCCGAUGUCGGAUUAGCUAGUUGGUGAGGUAAAAGCUCACUAAGGCAACGAUCCGUAGCAGGUCUGAGAGGAUGAUCUGCCACACUGGGACUGAGACACGGCCCAGACUCCUACGGGAGGCAGCAGUGGGGAAUUUUGGACAAUGGGGGCAACCCUGAUCCAGCCAUGCCGCGUGAGUGAAGAAGGCCUUCGGGUUGUAAAGCUCUUUCGGCGGGGAAGAAAUGGCAACGGCUAAUAUCCGUUGUUGAUGACGGUACCCGCAUAAGAAGCACCGGCUAACUACGUGCCAGCAGCCGCCGUAA